GCUACUAUAUUAUCUACUAGUUUUUUUCAGUUGGGAUUAAGGCUUAGCUGUAGUUGUAUAUGUGAAAAUAGUUGCCUGUUGGAAUGGCAUCCAUCUUCUCAGUAGUUUCGAUGAAUUCAAUAUUCAAUUGGUUGGUAAAGUUAGAAAGGUUCAAUGAAAAUGAACCACCAACAUCUUUCUGGACUUCAUGCUAAAACUGGUAGCACUUGAGCACUGUUUUUGGUAC
rnacentral:misc_RNA from 1 species